rnacentral:sRNA from 1 species
GCUGGGUGUGGUGGAGCACACCUGUAAUCCCAGCUACUCGGGAGGCUGAGGCAGGAGGAUCCCAAGUUUGAGGCCAGCCUGGGCAACUUAGAAUAAAAAGUAAAAAGAAGGGCUUGGGUUGUGGCUAUGGAGUAGAGCACUUGCCUGGC